rnacentral:rRNA from 1 species
GACGUAGGGGGCGAGCGUUGUCCGGAUUUAUUGGGCGUAAAGAGCGUGUAGGCGGCCAGACAGGUCCGUUGUGAAAACUCGAGCUCAACCUCGAGACGCCGAUGGAAACCGUUUGGCUAGAGUCCGGAAGAGGAGAGUGGAAUUCCUGGUGUAGCGGUGAAAUGCGCAGAUAUCAGGAAGAACACCCGUGGCUAAGGCGGCUCUCUAGUACGGUACUGACGCUGAGACGCGAAAGCGUGGGGAGCGAACAGG